AGUGAACGCUGGCGGUAGGCCUAACACAUGCAAGUCGAACGGCAGCACAGUAAGAGCUUGCUCUUACGGGUGGCGAGUGGCGGACGGGUGAGGAAUACAUCGGAAUCUACUUUUUCGUGGGGGAUAACGUAGGGAAACUUACGCUAAUACCGCAUACGACCUACGGGUGAAAGCAGGGGAUCUUCGGACCUUGCGCGAUUGAAUGAGCCGAUGUCGGAUUAGCUAGUUGGCGGGGUAAAGGCCCACCAAGGCGACGAUCCGUAGCUGGUCUGAGAGGAUGAUCAGCCACACUGGAACUGAGACACGGUCCAGACUCCUACGGGAGGCAGCAGUGGGGAAUAUUGGACAAUGGGCGCAAGCUUGAUCCAGCCACACCGCGUGGGUGAAGAAGGCCUUCGGGUUGUAAAGCCCUUUUGUUGGGAAAGAAAAGCAGCAGGUUAAUACCCCGCUGUUCUGACGGUACCCAAAGAAUAAGCACCGGCUAACUUCGUG
rnacentral:rRNA from 1 species